AGUGAACGCUGGCGGUGGGCCUAAUACAUGCAAGUCGAACGGCAGCACGGUAAGCUCUUGCUUUUACCGUUGGCGGCUGGCGGGCGGGUGAGGCGUACAUCAGCAUCUUCUUUGUCGUGGGGGAUUACGUGGGGAAACUGCCGCUAAUACCUCAUAUUACCUACGGGUGAAAGCAGUAGUUCUUCAUAGCUUGCGCGUUUGAAUUAGCUGAUGUCGGAUUAGCUAGUUGGCGUGGUAACGGCCCACCAAGGCGACGCUCCGUAGCUGGUCUGAGAGGAUGAUCAGCCACACUGGAACUGAGACACGGUCCAGACUCCUACGGGAGGCAGCAGUGGGGAAUCUUGGACAAUGGGCGAAAGCCUGACGGAGCAAUGCCGCGUGAGUGAAGAAGGCCUUCGGGUUGUAAAGCCCUUUUGUUAGGAAAGAAAAGACGCAGGAUAAUACCUGGAUGUUCUGACGGUACCCAAAGAGAAAGCAACGGCUAACUUCGUG
rnacentral:rRNA from 1 species